GUCGUUAGAGAAGGUACAAAAGUUGGAUUCACAAGCCCUGUGUGAAAUAAAUUUCUCAAAAUGUCUUUUUAUUUAGUCUUGAAGAUGAAGCUGUAGAUAAAAACAUUUUCAGAGACUGUAACAAGAUCGCAUUUUACAGGCGUCAGAAACAGUGGCUUUCCAAGAAGUCCACCUAUCAGGCAUUAUUGGAUUCAGUCACAACAGAUGAAGACAGCACCAGGUUCCAAAUCAUCAAUGAAGCAAGUAAGGUCAGGUGCCAGGACCAGAGCCCAACAACUCUGGAUGCCUUCAAAGGCAAAGAAACCACAGUCCAGGAGGAGACACAGGAUCUCAGCACAAGACAGCACCUGGCUCAAAAGGAAGCUGAGGAGCCUGAUAAACAAGGACAAAUUACCUGGGACAUCAGCAACGUAGCUCCCAAGACUGAGAACUUUGAGGACCUCU
rnacentral:lncRNA from 1 species